AGGAGUGAUUAUUUAAGCUGUUUUGCUGGCUGCUGUUGUCACACGCUUUCCCAGAAUCCUCCAGCCUCCUAAACGUUAAGUGUUGAUUUGUGGCAGGCUGCCCGACUUUCAAGCAGCCAAUUGUAGAACGGCAGAGCAUCUUCCACUGCAUCGGCUGAUAUUUCCUGCUCUCCCUCCUCCCCUUCGCAUUAUUGGGAAAGGAGUGCAGAUUUUAUCAGGAAACGGAUGCUUUGCUGAUAAGCUCUUAUUCAGCCAGGAAGAAUUUCACAGGUUUCAUGUCUACAUUAUGUAGGCAAUGUCUACUUGUCAAACAAAAGAAUUCUUCGGGUGUUUUCACACCUGUAGUUUGUUUGCUCUGGUCUGAAUCAGGGACCAAAUUUUUACAAUGUUGCAUAUUGCCUGGAGUUUGGUUUGUGUUCACACGGCAGCGUUUUUUCAAAUUUUGGUGCGCAAAGAAACUGUUCUCUAAUUGGUCAGAAUUUCCAUGCGUGAGAACUCACGGAAGUAAACAAAGAAGAGCAGACUUCCAGAACGCAACAAUGGAGGGACAACUACGUGGCUUGAUCUUGGCCCUGGUCAUCUUUUUUUUUUUUUUACCUCGUAGCAUUUUUUCACUCAAGACAAACGAUACAGUUUGAAAAUGAGGCGCAGCUGCGAAUGGAAAACUAUGUAUUAAUGUACUGGAAUUGCCGAAGGCGCAUAUCAAGACAGUUCAGAAGGAGGCGUGCAUUAACCCUCCUAAACUGUGACGUGCUGUGAUAUUUCCGAUUAUCCAUCAGGUCUGUCUGACUGUCCAUUUAUUUUGUUGAAAAUCAUCUCCUGGUCUUAAGGUUAUUAUCACGGGGAGUUCACGGGAAGUGUUGUUUGCCAAACCCAAGGUGGGAAGCUCAUUCGGGGACUCGUGUGCUUGAUAAAACAGCUUGGGCUCCAAAAUAAUCGAAACGAGCAAGGAUCAUUCUGCCGAGGCCUGGACAUGAGGAAUAACAUGAGAGUGAGAAUAUAUGUGCUGGCAGAAUGUGUCAGUAGACAUGUUGGCUAACGGUCUAUGCGAUGUCGUAUUAUCUGAAUUGUUGGCCCGUUCUCCUCUUUUCACAACUAUUCGAUUAUGUCCCAGGUUGACUUCUGGUUUCUGCUCAGCAUUUUCUCAAUGUGAAAAGAAACAUAGCAGAGAUGAUAGAAGAGGGAGAGAGAAAGUGUCAGCAACAGGUGCGUUGCAGGAGGAGCAGGUUCCACCGGAGCGUGACUGCCCUCACAGAAACAUGUCAACAGCACAUCAAUAACACACCAAACCGUCCUGUCAAGUCCACAGAGAGGAAACCGUAAUACCGCAUGCUUCCUCUCCCACGAAACCUUGUCGCUGAACCGGACCACCCAGUGAGAGACGCUGCAAACAAACACUGGUUCAUAUGUUGCUGCACAGAGACUAUUCAUCAACCUACUGGUACAAGUCACAGUGUCCACCACAGUUAGUGAUACCAGUUGAAAUGAGAGAGAUUUUUAACCCUCUGAGACCUGCGAUCCUGACUGACUUUACUGUCUUUCAGAGGCUCUAGUAGGUACGGUUUUAGUGAAGGCUAGA